UCCUAGGUGUUGUCCCGGUUUUCCAGGAUUUCCAUAUGGUCAGCCUACUUCAAAGUCGCUACUUUCUGGUGUGUGUCCCUUUAUCAUACCAUGCCCAGCUGAUCCUGACCUUGCAGUAAAAUCCAGUGAGAAUAGCUGAAACACAUUGACUCUGGACAACCUGGCUGCUUCUUUCUCCACCUGAGAUGCAAGGCAGUCACUCAGGACAGCCAGAUUUGAGUGUCCAGCACCAACUGGAACUCUGAGUGGAAAAGGUGGAGUAUAGGGGAGGAGGAGCCCCACAGAAGACAUCGACCUAUGCCAACUUCAGCCAACUCUCUUUGAGCAGGAUUUUGGCUUUGCUGCCACCACCUUUGUGAUGUGCCAAUCUGGUGGAGUCUUGCUUCUCAGCUUCCCCAGAGGAGGGUUCAUCUUUGUUGCUCAUAAGCAGCACAGAAUCUGAUACAGAUAGUGAUCCUGGGACUGGCCAAGCAAACUGUAUGACUCCAGGUUUCCUGGGACACGGGAGGAAAAUCCAGGUGGAUCAGCCUCAGCUGUGAAAGUGAAUAGAAAGGAUGAAGUGUACUUCUUCCCCUCCUCACCCUUGUCUCUUAACAGGGGUGUUUGCUGCUGUGGUUGUGUGCGUGUUCAUUUGGCUGUGUUUCCUGAUUUGUCCACCUAUCACAUGGAUCGCUCUGCAAAUUUGCCAGUGCUCACUGUUUAGAGAGGAGCACUAGGAAUUUUAUAUAUAUGUAAACAAUCUAUAUAUAAAGAGAAAUGAAUUCGCAAUAAUAAAAUUAAAAAUCA